GGAUUAAAAGCUCGUACUUGUGGUGGGAGGGGCAACUGGGCCAGGAAACUCGGACUUUCGCAGAAACAUUCGGGGCUGCGCAAGUACCCACCCCCCAUCCUUGCCCCUAGGACUGCAUCUGGGAGGCGAGCUGGCCCUACCACCCCGUUUGGACCCUUGUCUACUACGCAGCCUCCCACUUUCCGCAAGGAGGAUGGCGCUCGCUCAGAUCUCCGCGUUCCCUCUUCCCUUGGGGACUCCAUAGUAUUUUUUUCACGCUUCGUCGCUACUACUCAUUAUUUGCCUUACCGAUCUCCGGUGCCUUGCCUGUAACCAAAACGCUUUCAGAUCGCAGCAAGGUCGAUUUAAGCACAGCCUUUGUUAAGGUGGCGUGACUGUGACUCAUUUACUCUUCCAGAGUAACAAAGCAACAAAAUGGUGCUCCCACAUAUUAAUUGAAGAAAGAUUCAGGGGAGAGAAAUAUUAAUUUUCUACUUUUAUGUAAGAUAUUAAUUCCAUGAAUAAAAUCAAACUCUUGUGGUAUGUUGUAAUACUCUAGAAUAUCUCCUUUUA